CCUCAGGCUGUGGAGAGGAGCGGUACCUACACCUGUGAGGCGAAUAACUCUGUCAAUACUAAUAGAUCAGACCCACUGACUGUGGGAGACCACUGCAAAGGUGGAGCUGCAGGCAGCUGGCAGACGGAGGGCUGUAGAGUGUGGAGCCUGGCUCUGGGACUUGUUGUGACGCUGCACAGUCUUCUGGUCUAAACCUGGUGGGGGAGAAUGAACUUUGACCUCUGGAAGGGAAGAUGAGUCAGAGCUGCAGAGGGCCCAGCAGGUUUCUGUUCUCCUGUCAUCCUGUCAUCCUGUCAUCCUCCACCUCAUGGGUCUAACUCUGUCCUGGGGGGCCCCCGUGUCUGCUGCCUGCCCCCUCUGUCUGUUCCCCCCCUGUGUCCGCUGCACCCUCUCUAUCUGCCAGUCAGACCAUUCAAUCUCAGAUAACCGUCACACGAUAAAAGACAAUUUCACUGUCAUGGAAAUACAUUUUUCUGAACUUCUUAAACUGUUGCUGAUAGAACUCUGUUUAUUCCAUGUGCUCCUUACCUUCUGAAGCUGGGUGUACUCCAGCUCAGU